UACGAGGGGGGCAAGCGUUGUCCGGAAUCAUUGGGCGUAAAGAGCGUGUAGGCGGCUCGGUAAGUCCGCUGUAAAAGUCAAAGGCUCAACCUUUGAAUGUCAGUGGAUACUGCCGGGCUAGAGUCCGGAAGAGGCGAGUGGAACUCCUGGUGUAGCGGUGGAAUGCGCAGAUAUCAGGAAGAACACCAACGGCGAAGGCAGCUCGCUGGGACGGUACUGACGCUGAGACGCGAAAGCGUGGGGAGCGAACAGG
rnacentral:rRNA from 1 species